GUACUUCCAAAGUACGUAUACUAAAAUUGGAACGAUACAGAGAAGAUUAGCAUGGCCCCUGCGCAAGGAUGACACGCAAAAUCAUGAAGCGUUCCACAUUUUU
rnacentral:snRNA from 1 species